AGUCAGGAGACAAAGGUUCCGCUGCUUUCAUGGAUAAAACUGUGGCUUCAUUCGUAUAACAACAGAGGUGUGAAAGUAACCAACGACAUUUUUCUCAAGCGCUGUAUUUAAGUACAUAUUUGAGGUGCCUGAACCUCAAAGUCUCAUUCAGCCGCUCAAGCCCACUGUUGGUUGUGAUUUUCUGUGGCAGCGAAUCCUCAAGGAAAACUGUGACCCAUCUCUGGAGCCAUGUUGUCUAAAACCAUUUCUGGAAGAGGAGAUUCCUGGUCCAUUGCUCACUGUCCUGAAGCUGCUUGAGUGCCUGCUAAUACUCCUGGAGAGUGUCAG